CCCUUUCUCUCUCGUACUAACGAGACAAUUACUAUUGUUGACCUAAUUCCCCCUAUUGCAACCUUAGGCGAUAGUCGUGUUCCUUGAUUGAAGAAGGGUUGUGAAGAACCGACGUCUCUGUGAUUUAACAUGGUAUCAAUCGGAAACGACGCAACCUGGACAACACUUCCCCAAAGUUAUGCUCUGAUAGCUCUAGAAAUGCAGAGCAAUUUUCCAAGGAAUCUCUGUCAACUUCAAGUUCCAAAGAAGAAAAAUUCUUCCGGUCAUCAAGAAGGAAAGAAUGAAGAUCAAUCAACAAAAAGAGAAAAUAAUCAAAUAGCAAAAAAAAUUCAUGGAAAUCUCCUUUCUUCUUGUCUGUUGGUAAUCAUCCAGGGGCUCAACUAGUGGUUGAUAAAUUGACAGGAGAAGACAAUUAUGUUGCAUGGGAAAACUCCAUGAAGCUAUCACUGGUUUCAAGAAAGAAGACAACAUUUAUCAAUAGAAAAAUCAAGAAACCAUUUGAUGAAACAUGGGAAGAAUAUGAAGAAUGGGAGAUGGUCAAUGAGCUAGUGCUUUUUUGGAUAAUAAAUGGGAUAGCUUCAACUUUCAUACACACUGACACAACCUACGAAGCAUGGUUUGAGCUUUAAGAAAUGUAUAAACUGAAAAAUGCACCCAAUUUAGGUAUGAAAUUAAUACCAAACUUAAAUUAGUCAAGAUUAGACCAAACUUAAAUUAAUCAAUAAAUUAAUUAAAUUAAAGGUUUAAAUCAAAGUCAAGAUUGGAAUUGGUACAAUUGUAUAAAACACCUUGAAUAUAAUAAUUAUUGCUAUUUUAUCUAAUACUUUAUUCAAGGUACAAUAUUCCAUGAGCAAAAGAUACUAUUUACAAAGGAAUCUUCUCAAGGGGACAAAAGAUAGCUUGGAUGAAAUUCACUAUUAACAAAAGAAAGCAUCCACUAUUCAUAAAAGAAUCUUCCCAAGAAAAGAGAAGACAAGUUUUGGAAUCAUGUGAGGAAUUAAGGAACCAUCCAAUGAAGAUCCAAGGGUGGACAAGCAAUGACCAAGGUUAUAAAUAAAGGGGUAUCCCCUCCAUUUUCGUCUACCACACUUCAAGCAUUUCAAAGAGAUUUCACUCCACAUUUGAGAUCUACAAAGUGUUCUUGCUUCCAAACUUCCAAAAGUUCCCAAAUGUUCUAACUUUUCAAAAGCUUCAAAAGCUCUCCAACUUCUACUUCUAAUCUUCUUGUUCAUCUUCUCAAGUAAGAAGUUUUGUGUGCUUAAUAUUCCACUCCUCUAAUCAUCUAUUGUGUGUGUCCACUUUGGUUGAGAGGUUUGUCUCAAUAUCACCAAAGUAUAAGAGAAAGUUUUUGAUCUCAACUAUAAAGCUCUAUGUUUGGUUCUAUAAAGUUUCCUGGAAAACUCUUAGGUCGAAUCUAUUUUGAAAGUCUUUUAGGUUUUUAAGAGUUCCUUAAUACUCUAAUGUGUGAGUCUACCCGUAAAAGACUGGUUCCUAAGCGAAGUUAGUCUUAAAGCUUAAAGAGAUUUUUAAGAGUUUUCUUGAUACUCUAAGGUGUAAGUCUACCCGUAAAAGACUGGUUCCUAAGCGAAGUUAUUCUUAAAGCUUAGAGAGGUUUUUAAGAGUUUCCUUGACACUCUAAGGUUUUUCCAUAACCUUUAGACUAGUGAACUCCGAUAGUUUGUCGGGACUGGAUUAGCCAUUGUUUGGAUAAACCAUUAUAAAUUCUCUUGUGUUGCUCUUUGUUAACUUUAAUACUUAUCUAUUAUCUAAAAUCAACUAAACAACAAAACGAUACUUAAUUGAAAAAGAUCCCUCUUUUAGUUAUUUGGUCAAGAAUAGAGGUUGACUAUAUUCCACAGGCUUUGUCGAGCAACUAAUCUCGAAGGGAGAACUUAGCAACUUAAUUCGUUAAGAGACCCCGAGGAUGAGACAAUUGCAAAUAUAACACUAAGGGAAAGAUUCCACAUUCUCUUUCACCAGAUAGCGACAAUAGCGAGAACCGCCAACGGAAGACCAUCAAUAUGAUAUUUGGUGGUGGUUUUGUUGGCUAGAACAGGGGAUACGCCUAGAAGGUGCUGAUGUCGCAAUCAACACCUCGAGACAACGGAAAACGGGUCCGCGAAAAGAAGUCAAUAUACUUCUCAGAAGAGGACCUGGACGAUGUUCUGCAACCUCAUGAGGAUCCACUCGUGAUCCAAGCAGACAUCGGUCCCGAUUCCCGAGUCGAGAGGAUGAUUGUCGAUACCGGCAUUUCUACGGAUAUCCUCUACAUGGAUACUUUCACCAAAAUGGGCCUUAAAAGGGAGGAUUUAUCUCCUUGUAAGGAAGCCAUUUAUGAGUUCACUAACAUCGCCGCCCCAGUGGCCGAAGUUAUAUAUCUGAAAGUUUCCAUCGGCUCCAGGCGAGGGAGGGUUAGUCGGAUCAGUUAUUCUCGAUUAUCCAAACUAUCAAAAGAAAAAUUAGUGACUGGACUUCCUAAAAUAUCAAGAAGGAUCGAAGAAGGAUCCAUAGGGGAAGAUCCCCGACCGAGGAAUACUCAGGGGACGAAAGAACCUAGGCCCACCAUCCUGGGAAACACGACAAAAGAUCCUAGGUCGAGGAAUCAUCGAAAGGGUGCCAGGACCAGACCUCUCGUCAGAAAUAGCAGGACCAGACCCCGACCAGCGAAGUCACACAUCAGCUGCUCCUGGCGAUCGCUGGCCUAAAGAAAACCAAAAACAACUGUAGGAAUAAAUAUUCCGAAUGGUGGGAAAUAAGGUGCCCAAGGAGAAAUUCCUCUGACCCCUCGAGAAGAGGGAGGGGGCCCUAGUACCACAUCUCGGAAAGGAAGCCUACCCUACGGGAUGGAAGGCGCCCCGCCUGACGAUGUACUUUGUGACCACCUCCACUCGUUUUGCAUAGGAAUGGAGGGCAUGACCACCCGGAGGGACAUAUGGUGCCGCAUGUCCCGGAGAACUUUGCUCAGAGAUGCGAUCGAAUGGUAUCGAGGCUUCUCCCGCAUAGCAUACAUACGUUCGAGGAUCUCGAAAGGUUACAUUGUUCCGUGUGGCCUUCGCUUUCCGCACUCGUCGAAAGUAGGAGAUAACAACCCUACUGACAGUGUCACAGGGAGAUGGGAAGACCCUCAAGGACUACAUGAAUCGGUUCUCGACGGCUGUCCAAGACCAAGAGGAAUCAGAUGAGUCAUCCAUAAUGAUGGAUCUGUUGAACGGCCUGAGGGGAACACAUUUCCCGAUCAAACUCAUUGACAAUAAGGUCAAAACCAUCUCUGAGACCAUGCACCGAGCCCAGGGAGCCAUAAACAUAGAGGAAUUUCUGGUCCCAAAGUUUAAACAGGCUCUGCAAAGACAAAAGGGAAAGGUCGGUGAAUAAGGUCCCAAAUAGCAUAUUGCAACAGGUGUAACCUUCUACGAGGCAACCCCAACUUAAACCAUAGAGCAAGGGAAGGGCUACGAACACAGAACUCCAGAAGCCAGCAGAAUCCGUUCAAAACCAAAGGGAAGUCUUCCUAUCGUUGAAAGAAGCAGACGUCCUCUCGGAAGUGCGAUCAAUGAGAGUUGAAUCGACUGCAUACCACAAAAAUAUGAAGUACUGCAAAUACCACCAGGACUCGAGCCACACAAUAGCGGAAUGUAGAAACCUGGCAAAGGCCAUCGACCAAAUAAAAAAUCCGAAAAAAGGCCCCUGCCCGGCAUCCGUCCCGAGACCGACUAUCAUACAAAUCGGCCAAAAAACCCUAAGGUGGAGCCGGACGAGCCAGAGGUAGGGGACAUAUUUGCCAUAUGGAGGGGGGGACCUCUUGGACCUAGGACCCUACGGAGGCCCUUCGUUACACCACGAACACAACAAGAGAGGCCACAGGGAGAAGAGGAAGCCCGCGGAGGAGAUAUCAUUCACGGAUGCGGACCUCGCGGAUAUAACAACAUCGCACUACAAUCCACUGGUAAUCAUGUCGAUUCUUAGAAGAAAAAGCGGUGGCCAGGCCAGGCUGUACAGAGUACUAGUCGACACCGGUGCCUUAGUAGACAUAUUAUACUGGAAUGUGUUUAUACAACUCAGGCUAGGCGAUCAGAACCUGAGGCCAUUUCACGCCCUGUUGCGGGGAUCCUGGUAGCGAGCAUAAUCAUGGUCCCCGUAACAUUGGAUAAAUGAGGCCAAGCAACGACGGUGCAAGUAAAGUUUACCGUUGUAUGAAUGAAUUCAGGAUACAACGUCAUACUAGGAAAGGCCACCUUGCACGCUUUCCAUGCAGUUAUGUCAUCCUGGCACCAAUGCCUGAAGUUCCCGGUAGCAACGGGGAUAUGUACGGUAAAAGGGUCGCAGAGAACAGCCCGAGAAUGCUACAUGAACUCAACUGCAGAGGUCUUAGCGGCCUCUAGAGAAACGAUGGACUACCCCACACCACAAAGGAGAAAGUACACAGGCCCGAACCGGCGUCCUCUACGGAUGAAGUCAGCCUGGGCAACAUAACCAUAAGGAUAGGGACUUAGCUUCAUCCAGAACUACAAACAGGGCUGAUAGAACUGCUCAGAAAAAACAAGGACUUGUUCGCGAGCGAGUUAAAAUACCUCAAAGGAAUAGCCCGACCCGCACUUCAGCGGAACACAAGCUCAAAUUAGCCCCGAAAAAUGUGCCCGCUCCGGGCCGAAAGAAAGGAGGCAGCUGACGCCGAGGUCGAAAAAUUACCCAGGACUCAGUUCAUACAUCCGGUACGGUACCCAGCGUGGCUGGCUAAUAUAGUCAUGGUCAAAAAGGCCAACUCAAUGUGGAUAAUGUGCGUUGACUUCACAAAUUUGAAUAAAGCGUGCCCGAAAGACAGCUACCCCCUCCCGAUUGUAGACCACCUAGUGGAUAAGAGUUCAGGGUUAGCGGUACUAAGCUUUAUUGAUGCACACUUCGGAUACAACCAAAUACCCAUGGCCAAGGAGGACUAGGAAAAGACAUCAUUCAUAACGGAACGGGGAAUGUUCUGCUUUGGAGUGAAGCCCUUCGAACUCCGGAAUGCGGGAGCAACGUUCCAAAGAUUCAUGGACCAAAUAUUUGCGAACCAGAUAGGAGAGAAUGUGGAGGUGUACGUAGAUGAUAUUAUGGUCCGGUCUAAGAAAGAGAAAACCCAACUAUCCGACCUCGAGGAAAGCUUCACUAACAUCCGGAGGGUAGGCUUGCGGCUAAAGGCCAAGAAGUACACAUUCGGGGUAACCGAAGGGCAUUUCCUCGAUUAUAGGAUCACGCCGGAGGGAAUCAAACCUUAGGUAGAGAAGAUAGAGGCGGUCCUGGCGAUGGUCUCACCAAAGAUAAUCAAGGAAGUACAGAGGUUGAACGGUCGAGUCGCGGCACUCAACCGAUUUUUACCUCGGGGAGCGGACCGGCGCCGUCCAUUCUCCCAACUUUUGAAAUCUGCAUCACGAAAGGUGGUAUGGUCGGAAGAGUAUACCCAAGCAUUCGAAGAAUUGAAGGCACAAUUAGCGAGCCUUCAAACCUUGCAGCCCCCGGUACCGGACGAACCACUAUCUAUGUACGUAACCAGCUCGGAAUACGUCAUAAGCGCGGUGUUAGUACUGGAUGCAAGGGAACAAUAGAAACCAGUCUACUACUACUCCAGGGCUCUAUAGGGAGCAGAGACAUGGUAUUCAACCUUGGAAAAAUUAGAAUAUGCAGUGGUCUUGGUGUCGCGGAGACUCUAUUCGUAUUUCCAUGCGCACACAAUCCUAUAGAUUCUGCACAAAGCUGAUAUCUCAGGACGACUGACAAUGUGGGUCGUGGAGCUAAAAGGAUUCACCAUUAACAUCGUACCAGAGAAGGCCAUAAAAGGACAAGAGAUAGCGAAGUUCAUGGCCGAACUACACCUGAGCCCGGUGGAGGCGAUUCCCAACGAACCAAUCCUAUGGAAAAUUUACGUGGACGGAUCCUUAGAGGCAACCGGGUACGGAUCCGGUAUGGUCCUAUUCUCCCCAACAGGUGAAAGAAUAGACCACGCGGUCCACACUUCGAAUUUCCCGUUAACAAAUAAUGUCGCGGAGUAUGAAACAGUAAUAUCAGCCGCGAAGUUAGCGGGAGCUCUAGGAGCUGCAGACAUAGUAAUCCAUACAGACUCCAAACUAGUAGCAAAUCAAAUCCCGGGCAGAUUUCUAUCAAAAGAGGACUCUAUGUCUGUGUACCUAGAGGUGGCCCAAGCCGCUCUAGAGAGUUUCGCGACGUGGGAAAUCGUACACAUAGGUCGGGGAGACAAUAUGGAGGCCGAUGCAUUGGCACGACUAGGGGUUGCAUCAUGCCCGAAAGGAGGGCGUUGGGUUAAAAUUGAAACACAAGCAAGCCCAGCGGCCCAAUCAAUCUGCGCGAUCAACCAAAUCACAACGGAUCCGGACUGGAGGGAUCCUAUCAAAAGAUACAUCAACGGAGGAGAAGUACCCCGGGACCCGAUGGAAGAAAGAAAACUACGUGCCCAAGCAGCUUGGUUUCUAGUAAUGGGGGGCGAGUUGUACAAGCGAUCUACCAGGAGUCGGUCCCACUCCAAGCGUGCGUACUCUGUGGUGAAGCAAAAGAAAUUGCAUCAAGUUUCCACAAGGGUUCUAACGGAGUUCAUCAGGGUAGAAAAGCCCUAACCAAACAGAUAUCCAGGAAAGGAAAUUAUGGGCCGGAGCUGCACCAGGAUGCUAAGAAAGAAGCCCAGUAUUGCGACAAUUACCAACGGCACACGAAUAGGCAGCGACUGCCAUCCUAUGAGAUCCGUGCAUUCAUAACUCCGAUCCCCUUCAUCAGGUGGGGCCUAGACAUAGUCGGUCCUUUCCCACGGACCUCAGGGGAGGAUGUACCUUUUCGUAGCGGUCGAUGCAAAUUAUCUAGGUCGAUGUGAUUGGUCAGGGUGAAUGGAAACAAGGAUUAUACUUCCUAAAUCUAGCAAAAUCAUAAGUAUGUGCAAAUCAAGCUGCAGAUUACAAAACUUGGCAUCUGAGACCAGGUCAUUUAUCUCCACAAAAAUUACGAAUUUUAAUAAAUACAUGUAAUGAUUUUAGAAUAUGCUGUAAAAAUAAUAUAGCUGAUCAAUUUUCAGAUCAAACGUGUAAUAAUAAUACACUUGUUUUAAAUAAUAAUUUUGUUUUUCAAAAUAAAAAUAAAUCUCAUGAAAUUACAGAAAUAAUAAUAAAAUUUCUGAAAAUAAAAAUAAAAUAUCUUUUUUAGAAUGUGAAAUCUGACCGUUUGCUAAACAAACUAAAAUAAAAUACACAAAGAGUAUAUGCAAACAAAAGAUAUCUGUGAAUAUAUGGAGAAAAUCCCCAAUAAACACUCAUGAUGAUCACAAUUAUUUCCUAACUAUAGUAGGAUAAUAUGGGUCUAUUUAAUACUGAUGAUACCCUCGGCCCACUAUAUGUGGCCCAAGGAACACAACAGUAACUUACCCCAUGACCCAGGCCCGACAAGGAUCCGACCCGGGUCAAACCUGAGGCAGAGCCAACUAGGAUACGGGUCGAUCCCACGGACCCGAUCCGACUAAGAUGGAAUCAGAAAGGAGCGAAGGAAGUUCGGAAGGGCGGAAAACUUCCCUCCCCGUAGGGGGAGACAUUGGGGCUGAACCAGCCAGAUCAGCGCUACUACAGAGAGGGAGGCAUCAAGGGAAUUACACUAGCGCUCGAAGCCACCGCCACGAAAGAUCCUGAUCUCCUAUCAUCAGGAGGGAUCAGAAAAGGACCCACCGGGGAAGGUCACCUACAAAAGAAUCCUCGGAAGACGUACGGGCCUGGUCCCACCACCCAAGGAAACACAACAAGAGGGCCCUGGCGGAAGAGUCAUCAGAAAGGUGCAAAGACCUCACUUCAUGCCGGGAAUGACCAGAUAGAACUCCGGCCAGCGAGGUCACACAACAAACUCAUGGCUAUCACGGGCUUUCAAGAGAACCAGAAGCAGCUGCAAGAGCAUACAUAUAUCCCAAAUGGCGGGAGGUAAGGAGCCCGAGAACAACUUCCACUCAUUCCACACGGGGAUCGACAUGACCAACCAGAGAGACAUAUGGUGUCGCAUGUUCCGAAGGACACUGAUAGGCAACGUGAUCAGCUGGUACCGAGGCCGCCCCCCACAAAAUAUACACGUGUUCAAGGACCUCGAGAGGUUGUUCUGCAUAGCAUUCGCUUUCCGUACUCGACGAAAGAAGGGAGUAACGACCCUACUGGUAGGUAGUGUCACAAGGGAUGGUGAAACCCUCAGGGACUACAUAAACCAAUUUGCCAUGAUGGUUCAGGACCUAGAGGAGACAGAGGAGCACGUUUUGCAGUCGAACUCAUCGAUCACACGCUUUCUUAGUCCCUUAAUUCCUAUACUUACUACAUUUCUUAUUUUUUGCAUUUUGCUUAUAGAUCCUCACCUUUUUUCUAUAUUUUCUUUUAAUUUUCAGUUAUUAUUGUUAACUCCACCUCCACUAAUUACAUAAAUGAAAAUUAAUGACCCAUAAUUUAGUAAUUAUAUCACCAUUAAUAACAUAGAUGUAGAUUAGUGGCCCAUAGUAGUCGGUGACGUCAAACGUGGUCAACCCCUAUAAAUAUGUAAUAUGAAGUUCAAUGGGAGGAUAACAAGUUUUAUUCUAUGCACUGUAGUGACUUAGCCGUCGACUUCUCUAAUACAAUGAUAAAUUCCAUCUAGGAUCGUCGGGAAUGUGUGGCCGAUCUUGAAAUUGAGCAGUCAACGGCUAAGUUACUGGAGUGCAGGUGGCGACUGAUUUUUGGGAGAUUGUGUGUGAAAACGGAGAGAGUUAAUAGAGGAUUGGUUGUACAGACAAUAGAACAAUGAAAAUUGUAUUCCAUCCAAUAAUUAGAUAGUUGAUUACAUUCCUUUAAAUAUGAUUAGCUAUAAGAUAUUAUUCGUAACUAAAACAACUGAUGAAGCACAGGAUCUAACAUAGAGUUAAGUAUUGCAAAAUCUAACAUAGAGUUUAUUUUUAAUUCUCUAGCAAGAUUUAAAUGCCAACAAAGAAAAAACAUGUGUCCAAUUUCAACAACCAUCGUAUCUAGAAAACCCAUAAUUUGCUAAUGCUAAUUUAGUAAUCGAUCUAUAAACCACCAUUCAAGGUUAAUUAUUUUUAAUCCUCUACCAAAAUUUAAAUACCAACAAAGAAAAAAAAUAGGUUUUCAAUUCUAACUGCAUGUUAUCAGGAAAACCCAUCAUUUGCUAAUGCUAAUUUAGUAAUCAAUUUAUGAACCACCAUUCAAGGUUAAUUAUUUUUAAUCCUCUACCAAAAUUUAAUUGUCAACAAAGAAAAAAAUAGGUUUUCAAUUCCAACUGACUGUUCAUCAAACUUGUUAUCUCGACCACCAAAGAAACAAUUACUGAGAGAACCAACAUAGUAUACGAAAUGAUUGCAUUUUAUGUGACAAUAUAUCUAUAUACCCUGUUGAUUGAUUCAAAUACAUCGUAUGUCAUCCCGACAUCGAAAUCGAUUACCAUGGUGUUCUUUCCUGUCCUACAUAUGCUUAAAAUGAAUUGGGCAAUAUAAAAAAUGGAUACAAAAUCCAGGUGUGAUACUAAUACCAUGUGAGGAUUUAGUCCAAUCGAAUGAAUAUUAUUUAUUCAGAUAAUCGGUGACCAACUAAUAGAUAAACUUCAACUACGAGUCCCCUUUUAUGUGCGUCGGAAGACGUCAUCUACGCCGGAGAUCGCACCACAGUUUAAGAUCGACGAAUACCAGAAGAAAAAUGGCUCUAAAACAAUUACAUUUACAACAUGAGCUAAAAUGCCAUCUCCAAAAAAUACUAUACCAGUCCUCUUCCGUUAUGCUAACAUAUUCCUGAUUCGACAUAGUAGGAUUUUUUUAUCUAUAUAUAGUAGUCUGCAAAUUGCAGAACCAUUGUUCCAACUAUGCAGCAGAACUACAAGUUUUAGAAUCAAAUAUGGGCACGUUUGGUACUAUGAUAAUUUGAAAAAACAACAAAUCUUAAAUUCAGACAUAACUUUUGAGUUUUGACACAACAAUCAUUAUCCUUUGAUUUUGCUUGGUUUUUUCAGUUUAGCCACUUCUGAAAAAUUCUCUUUCAUAAAUUACAAUCUGAAGUAUUUAAACUGUCUUAAUGUCCGAUCAAAUUAAUACGACGAGUAGUAAUAAUAGUGUGGAUUUGGGGAAAAUGUCGAUAAAAAAAUCAUAUUUUCAGGAAACUAUACACAAAAUGGAAAAUUAGGGCAAAAUAAAACUCCGAUAUUUUAGCAAAAUUAGGGCAAAAGCAAAACCCAUCAUUAGGGCAAAAUUAGGGCAAAAUAAAAACCUUGUACCUCAAACAACUUUCGUGACAAAACUCAAAGUUCUUGACAUGGAUCUUUUCUUUUACCUUCGAGGUAUCGUAUGGAGAACUCUCUCUCUUUCCACACAUUCAUCUCUUCUUGACGUUGUUUCCUCUUCUUUAUUACCUUUGGAUUUCCAUUUGUCAACACAACUGAAAGAUUAAAUAUAUAUUAUCAGAAUCAUGGAUAUUUCUUCAUUU
rnacentral:lncRNA from 1 species